UGGGGAAUAUUGCGCAAUGGGGGCAACCCUGACGCAGCAACGCCGCGUGAUUGAUGAAGGUCUUCGGAUUGUAAAAAUCUUUAAUCAGGGACGAAGAAAAUGACGGUACCUGAAGAAUAAGCUCCGGCUAACUACGUGCCAGCAGCCGCGGUAAUACGUAGGGAGCAAGCGUUAUCCGGAUUUACUGGGUGUAAAGGGCGUGUAGGCGGGCUUGUAAGUUGGAAGUGAAAUCUCGGGGCUUAACCCCGAAACUGCUUUCAAAACUGCGAGUCUUGAGUGAUGGAGAGGCAGGCGGAAUUCCCAGUGUAGCGGUGAAAUGCGUAGAUAUUGGGAGGAACACCAGUGGCGAAGGCGGCCUGCUGGACAUUAACUGACGCUGAGGCGCGAAAGCGUGGGGAGCAAACA
rnacentral:rRNA from 1 species